GAUAAAUAUAAUCAAGGUUAUAUUUACAUGACUUGAAAAUUAAAUUCAAGAGAGUUUCAUUCUUUCAUCAUUAAUUUGAUGUAAAUACAUAAACAUUG
rnacentral:sRNA from 12 species